AACGGUCCAAUGAGCUCGGCCUCCAAGAAGAAAUGGCCAGCCUGCUCCUAUCUCAGUGUUUAUGGCUGGAACAGCCAAACCACAACGAAGUUUGACCCAAAAACAAGGAAGAUAACCACAGUAAAAGAGCCCAAAUAUUGCACUGCUCAGUUGAGCAAAUCGGGGACUGCCUCUUUGUAGAAGCAAUGUAAUUGCAAGAAUGAAGGCAGAAAAUGUGAUAGCAACAUCAAG
rnacentral:misc_RNA from 1 species